CCUACGGGAGGCAGCAGUGAGGAAUAUUGGUCAAUGGACGGAAGUCUGAACCAGCCAAGUAGCGUGCAGGAUGACGGCCCUAUGGGUUGUAAACUGCUUUUGUAUGGGGAUAAAGUUAGGGACGUGUCCCUAUUUGCAGGUACCAUACGAAUAAGGACCGGCUAAUUCCGUGCCAGCAGCCGCGGUAAUACGGAAGGUCCAGGCGUUAUCCGGAUUUAUUGGGUUUAAAGGGAGCGUAGGCUGGAGAUUAAGUGUGUUGUGAAAUGUAGACGCUCAACGUCUGAAUUGCAGCGCAUACUGGUUUCCUUGAGUACGCACAACGUUGGCGGAAUUCGUCGUGUAGCGGUGAAAUGCUUAGAUAUGACGAAGAACUCCGAUUGCGAAGGCAGCUGACGGGAGCGCAACUGACGCUUAAGCUCGAAGGUGCGGGUAUCGAACAGGAUUAGAUACCCGGGUAGUC
rnacentral:rRNA from 1 species